GACCAACAGGGGAGAGGGGACCCCCUGGGCUCCUGGAUAUGCCUCAACCAGACUAUGAAUAUCACCAUUAAAAUGGAAUGGCUCCACUACCAGUGACUAAGGACCUGUCCCAGGAACAGGAUGACUCCAGAUCAGUUUCCAGCUGCCAGGAGUCCUUCAUUUUGGAGCAGCUACUAGAGGACACCCCAGGUCUCUGCGCUGGGGGUGACUCUACCUGGACCCUGAACAACUCUGUUGAUAGAGGCCACCAGAAGAGCAUCUUGGUAGCUAUGUACCAGAGCAGUGACACUCUCACCACCCUCCAUGAUGUGGAAAGCAUCAGGCAGAGCUCCCUGUCCAACUGUCUGCACGGGGCCCUCUCAUGGCUUUCAAUUUUU